CCGGCGACCGGCGCACGGGUGAGUAACACGUAUGAAACCUGCCCGUAGCAGGGGAUAAGCGGAAGAAAUUCCGUCUAAUACCGCGUAACAACCCAUGGAGGCAUCUCUGUGGGUUUAAAGGAAGCGAUUCCGGCUACGGAUGGUCAUGCGUCGCAUUAGCUUGUUGGCGGGGUAACGGCCCACCAAGGCGACGAUGCGUAGGGGUUCUGAGAGGAAGGCCCCCCACACUGGUACUGAGACACGGACCAGACUCCUACGGAAGGCAGCAG
rnacentral:rRNA from 1 species